rnacentral:lncRNA from 1 species
ACAAGGCAAUUCAUACUGGAGAGAAACCUUACAAAUGUAAAGAAUGUGACAACGUUUUCAGUUGCAGAUCACACCUUGCAAUGCAUAGGAGAAUUCACACUGGAGAAGCCAUACAAAUGUAAGGUUUGUGAAAAGGUUUUUGGGCUCAAUUCACUCCUUGCAGAACAUACUGAAAUUCACACUGGAGAGAAACCUUACAAGUGUAAUGAGUGUGGCAAAGCCUUUAGGGUGAGGGCAUCGCCUAUUCACCAUCAAGCAAUCCAUGGUAUAGUGAAAGCUCACAGAUGUAAUGACUGCCACAAAGUCUCCAGUAAAACUACAACACUUGCAAAUCAUUGGAGAACCUAUAAUGAAGAGAGAUCUUACAAGUGUGAUAAAUGUGGCCAAUUUUACAGUCAUCAUUCAUACCUUGCAGUUCAUCAGUGAACUCAUACUGGAGAAAAACCUGUGACAAAGUUUUCAGUCGUAAAUCACAGCUUGAAAGACAUAGGUGAAUUCAUACUGGAGAGAAACCAUACAAAUGUAAGGUUUGUGAUAAGGAUUUUGGGUGUGAUUCACACCUUGCAGGACAUACUAGAAUUCACCCUGGAGAGAAACCUUACAAGUGUAAUGAGUGUGGCAAAGCCUUUAGUGGGCAAUCACCACUUACUCACCAUCCAUCAGGCAAUCCAUGGUGUAGGGAAAGUUUACUAAUGCAAUGAUUGUCACAAUGCCUUUGGUAAUGCUAGAACUGUUGCAAAUCAUUGGAGAAUCCGUAAUGAAGAGAGAUCUUACAAGUGUUAAUAAAUGUGGCAAAGUUUUCAGACAUCGUUCAUAACUUGCAGUUCAUCAGCGAACUCAUACUGGAGAGAAACCUUACAAAUGUCAUGAUUGAGGCAAGGUCUUCAGUCAAGCUUCAUCCUAGGCAAAACAUAGGAGAAUUCAUACAGGAGAGAAACCUCACAGGUGUGAUAAUUAUGGCAAAGUCUUUACUUCACGUUCACAAGUCAUUAGGCAUCAGAGAAUCCCUACUGGACAGAAAUCUUACAAAUGUCAUAAGUGUGACAAGGUUUCAGUCUGA